rnacentral:lncRNA from 1 species
CAUUUCUGCUGUCACUGGUUAACUAGUGGGCACAUUUUCACCCUCGAUAUUUAACUAGUUGACACAAACAUGUCUAACUAGUUAACUAGUGGACAGAAAUGGCUUACAUGUUCAUGACAAUUCUGGCUGAUAUCCUGAUAUCAGAAUAAAUGCUCAUUUGGCUUGCCAUACUUCUGAGACACUUCUGACUCGUUCUGCUAACAUUUCUAAAUAAAACACCCAGUUGACUCAACCCUGUGACAACGUCCGGCACCUUCUAGUGGCCACAUGAGUUCACUUUUCAUUUUAGUCUGCACUCAGGUUCUGUUAUUAGGAAAACACACAUACAUAUUUGAAGAUGUUAACUUUCACAUCUCCAGUGAAGUUUGUGUCACUCGUGGAUUUUCAUCAUUUCACGAAUUAGAACUAACUCUCGAACAAACGCCCCACAAAGAGCAAAAAUACCACAGAGAGAAGAGAACAAACAGGGCUUUUAUCUGAACAGAGCUUCCCCUUGUGGGGUGUCAUAUUGUCAUUUCCUGACAUAUUUUAAGAAAGAAUUGCUGACGGGACAUUUUUGUCUCAAUAAGCAAGAAACAUCUACCAGAAAACAUCUGAUGAAAGAAGGAUGAGUAUCCUGUCAUUGUUGGUUCUCUGUAUCAUGCGUUCCUCAGGGGCAGCAGCUGGACUUUAUUCUACUGAUCCAUCUCUGGUGGUUUCCACUGAAGGACAAAGUAUCUGUUUGCCAUGUGGCGUACCUUCUGAGUCGUGCUCCUCGAUAAACUGGAAGAUGGAAGAAAGGGUUCCCGGCUGGUUUUCUGAUGUGGUGAUGGAUGGAAGGGUGACAUCUGCAGAUGCCAGGUAUCAUCUGUUGAAGGACUGUUCCUUGGAAAUCGCUCAAGUCAAACCUGAUGAUGCCCACAUGUACACCUGUCAAAGCGGAUCACUUAAGUCAAGUGUUUCACUUCGGAUCCUUGAAGUUAUUGAGAGCCAAACUCCUGCAGAGGGCACAAUAGAGCUUCACUGUUAUCUGAACACAUUUAAAGGAUACGUGCCUUGCAGCAGAAACUCAGACAUCCACAUCAGAUGGACUGACCAGAAUGAUGAACCACUAAAUGGUCAAAGAUUUAGAUCUGAGACUCUAUCUGCUUGCUUCUCUAAACUUUUCAUCACCAAAAAACUGACGGACCAUCAUAGAACGUGGAAAUGUCACGUCCUACAGAACAACCAGAUUAAAGCCUCCGUCAGUUAUGAGACUACAGUAGAAGGUGGCCUGGAGGAAGUGUUUGCUGCUGUGGGUGAGUCAGUGUCACUCACUUGCACUUCCUCUCUCAGUUCUGGAGGCAACACAGAGUGGACUGUGAACAAAACACCACUGAGAAACAUGUCAUCUGAAACCAGCCCAACAAAAGCAUUUCACCUGGAUGAAGACUCAUCGUUGGUGAUCAGUAAACUGAGUCCUCUGAAUGCAGGAGAAUAUCAGUGUACUGAGUCCACCGGCCUGCAAAGAGUCCUCAACAAAAUCAGGCUGCACACACUCGAUGUUACGGCAGAGUCCACGUCAGCAGGAGUGAAGCUCACCUGUGUGCUAACUUGUGCUGAACAAUGUGAAGAAAACUUUAACCUAAGCUGGUCUGGAACCAGUCGAGAAGCUCUGCAGACACUUAUCAGGUUAUGUGUCCAUCUUGUCCUCCUGAUGGGUGCAGCUGCAGGAGGACUGUACACACACAUGAAGUGGAAGCAGAGGAAGGCUGCAGGUACAGGAUCUGGUCAAAGGUAUCAUCUAAACAGCUGCUAGUGGAUAAUAAAUUUAUCUGGGACAUGAAUAAAAAUAAAUAAACCUUUUGUUUUCUCCUCUUCUCUUUAUUCAGCAACAGAACACAACAAUAUUGAAAUGGUAAGAUAAACACCUGUGAUGUGUGCACAUAUUCUAACAUUAACACUUUCUAUCUCACUCAGUAUGAAGAACAGGAUCUGAGAUGAUCCAGAAAAGAAGUGACCACUAAUGCUGACUACUUCCGUCACUUUCAGUUAAACGAACGUUGUGCUCUUUGUUUUCAUUCAUGCUGUAGAUUAUUUUUAAAACAAUAAAUGCUUCUAAAUGCAAUGGAAAUGGACGGGGAGCAGGUUUUAAAUUAGUUGUUGUGAAUAUCUAAUCAGUGUUUCUGAAUCCAUCAGAUGUGAGCCUUAGAAACACAACAGGAGCUACUUCUGACUGGUGACAAACCACAGAUAACUCUGUCCUCAGUUUAACCAGCAGAUGGAGCAUCAUCACUCAGAUCACAAUUCUGUCACGUCUGCCCCUGCCUCCCUGAUUGUGUCUCUCUCCUGCCCUUGAUUAGUCCUUAUUGUUUUCACCUGCCCCUUGUUACCUGCCCAUGUGUUCCUCAUUUGCCCUGUGUAUUUAUACCUCCCUCCUUGUAUCAGUCUUUGUCAGAUCAUUGUGUUUGUAGUCAGCAUUGUUUUUGUCCUGUCGUUCCCGCUCUGUUAUUAAAACCAUUUUUACUUUAUCCAAGCCUGCAUUUUUGCCUCCGGGUCAGCUCCUCCACACACGGUCCGCUGUCAUCCACACCCACAACGUGACAAAUUCAGCAUAAUAACUGGGAUUUUUACUAAGUUAGGUCAUUUUGUCAGAUUCUUACAUUUGGAUUAGAAAAACAUUAACUAUCAAAGUGUCAGGUCUCCUCACCUUGGCUCAACUGAGUGAGCAGUGAGGAGGGCUGUAGCGUGUAACAACAACCAAACGCGGAAGUGCUAGAGAUGGGUGACGUCUAACACGCAUUUAAUAUAGGAACGCCGGCACGAGCCAAGAAGGGAAACGAGGACGUGGCGAUGUUCCAGAAGGUAAAAGGAACAGGCUUACUGUUUAGAGGUUGAAGAUGGUGCUGAGGAGCGUGGGAGCUCUGGAAUCGCCCGGCGUGAAUGACGGGCCGAAGCGACAGGUUGAGCUGUGGCCGUCCGACUUGAGCUGGAGCGUUGGCUAGGACCAAGGAGCCAUUGAGCGAGGUGAGCACGGAGGCUCCUGGUGCAACGGCGUGGUGGAUUGAGCCGACACGCUGGAAACGUGUGGUUCUUUUUCCUUAUCAAAAACAAGAGAGAGAGACAAGUUUUGUCCAAACUCAGCGUGGGGCGUUUAUUUACACUACUCAUCCAUACAUCACCAACACUUCAUGGGGACAGCGUCCAGCUUCGAUCUAAACACCUCGGCUGGAGAUCCUCCUGCAAAGCCCACGUUCUCCUACACCACGCAGCAUCAUAUACUCUUCAACCCCCACCUCUGAGAAAUGAUGGGGUGCUACUUCCACAUCCUAAUAUGGUCAAAAGUAGUUGAGACUUACAUAAGCUGGACAGAUCAACAUGUUUUGGAGCAUGUACUCAGCAGCUGGGCUGCCUGAUAAACGGCUGGUAUUGAUAAGCAACAUGUCAACAUGCACGUACACAAAACACUGCUUUUAGCUCCUACAGAUCCCCCCCAUGGGGGUGUCCACCCCCAUUAAUAAGCUGGCUACAUAACAUAUAACUUAACACAUAAGUGAACGUUAACAUAAACCAGUAAAUGGGCGUCGAAUGGCAAAAUGACAAAUACACUACAAACUUCAACCAAACUAUAUAGGCAUAUAUGUAACGACGAAGUAACUGCAAACCAACACUUGGAUGAGUACACAAAGUAAGUAUCAGCUUCAAAACACAAUAUGGAAUGUGACGUCUUUAACCAGCUCAGUCACAUCAAAAUGCAUGCGCAAACUGUAAGGGGGCGAAAACCUGUCCGCUGUUCUUAACAGGAAAAAUUCCCCCUUGACCUCCUGGCCCCAAA